UCUUAUUUCUGACCUGAAGAAGUAAUCUGUUUGAACGCAGCCUUCCAGUACUAGAACUCAUGUCUCUAGGACAAUAAAGCGGUGCUUGGUCGGCGUGUCGGAAGUUGACAGGUGCCAAUCUUGUACGUGCGCACACAUAAGGUUGAUGCAGACGGGGUGAAUUUUUAGAAGUAUACCUACUGAAAUUAACUUGACCAAGGCUAUGAAUCUUAGAGAAAAGAAUAUAACCAAACCUUCAAUAUACGAUUUAAAUUAUAAUUAAA